rnacentral:rRNA from 1 species
AGAGUUUGAUCCUGUGCUCCCGAUGAACGUUGGCGGCGUGCUUAACACAUGCAAGUCGAACGAAUCACCUGAAUGGAUUUCUUCGGAAUGCCGUUCUUGUUAUUGAAUGGCGGACGGGUGAGUAACGCUUGGGUAACCUGCCUUACACAGGGGGAUAACAGUUAGAAAUGACUGCUAAUACCGCAUAACCCGCUAAUACCGCAUGGUACAGACGGAAAAAAUUUAUCGGUGUACGAUGGACCCGCGUCUGAUUAGCUGGUCGGCAGGGUAACGGCCUACCAACGCGACGAUCAGUAGCCGACUUGAGAGAGUGACCGGACACAUUGGGACUGACACACGGACCAAACUCCUACGGAAAGCAGCAGUGGGGAAUAUUGCACAAUGGGGGAAACCCUGAUGCAGCGACGCCGCGUGAGUGAAUAAGUAAUUCGUUAUGUAAAGCUCUAUCAGCAGGGAAGAAAAUGACGGUACCUGACUAAUAAGCCCCGGCUAACUACGUGCCAGCAGCCGCGGUAAUACGUACGGGGCAAACGUUAUCCGGAUGUACUGGGUGUAAAGGGAGCGCAGGCGGUUAUGCAACUCAGAUGUGAAAAGCCGGCGCUUAACUCCGGGACUGCAUUUGAAACUUUAUAACUCGAGUGCAGGAGGGGUAAGUGGGAAUCCUAGUGUAGCGGUGAAAUGCGUAGAUAAUAGGAGGGACACCAGUGGUGAAGGCGGCUUAAUGGACUGUAACUGACCCUGAGGCUCGAAAGCGUGGGGAGCAAACAGGAAUAGGAACCCUGGUAGUCCACGCCGUAAACGAUGGAUAAUAGGUGUCGGGGUACGAAGUACUUCGGUGCCGCAGCAAACGCACUAAGUAUUCCACCUGGGGAGUACGUUCCCAAGAAUGAAACUCCAAGGAAUUGACGGGGACCCGCACAAGCGGUGGAGCAUAUGGUUUAAUUCGAAGCGACGCGAAGAACCCUACCAAGUGUUGACAUCCUUCUGACCGUCCCUUAACCGGGGCUUCCCUUCGGGGCAGGAGUGACAGGUGGUGCAUGGUAGUCGUCAGCUCGUGUCGUGAGAUGUUGGGUUAAGUCCCGCAACGAGCGCAACCCUUAUUUUCAGUAGCCAGCGGUUCGGCCGGGCACUCUGGAGAGACUGCCGGGGAUAACCCGGAGGAAGGUGGGGAUGACGUCAAAUCAUCAUGCCCCUUAUGACUUGGGCUACACACGUGAUACAAUGGUGAUAACAAAGGGAAGCAGCCCUGUGAAGGUGAGCCAAUCCCACAAAUGUCAUCUCAGUUCGGAUUGUAGUCUGCAACUCGACUACAUGAAGCUGGAAUCGCUAGUAAUCGCGAAUCAGCAUGUCGCGGUGAAUACGUUCUCCGGGUCUUGUACACACCGCCCGUC